GCUUGCUGUUUCGCUGACGAGUGGCGGACGGGUGAGUAAUGUCUGGGAAACUGCCUGAUGGAGGGGGAUAACUACUGGAAACGGUAGCUAAUACCGCAUAACGUCGCAAGACCAAAGAGGGGGACCUUCGGGCCUCUUGCCAUCGGAUGUGCCCAGAUGGGAUUAGCUUGUUGGUGGGGUAAAGGCUCACCAAGGCGACGAUCCCUAGCUGGUCUGAGAGGAUGACCAGCCACACUGGAACUGAGACACGGUCCAGACUCCUAC
rnacentral:rRNA from 1 species